rnacentral:rRNA from 1 species
GAUGAACGCUGGCGGCGUGCCUAAUACAUGCAAGUCGAGCGAACAGACGCGGUGCUUGCUACACUGACGUUGGCGGCGGACGGGUGAGUAACAUGUGGAUAACAUACCUAUAAGACUGGGAUAACUACGGGAAACCGGAGCUAAUACCGGAUACUUUCUUGAACCGGAGGGUUCGAUAGUUAAAGCCGGUUUUGAUGGCCCUUAUGGCUGGCUCCGGGCUGGUUUGGUGGUUUGGUACGCUAACGGCUUCCCCAGGCCGCGAUGGGUAGCCGACCUGGGAGGGGGUUGCCCCACACGGGAACUGAGACGCCGUCCUGACUCCGAGAGAAGGCCCCGGCAGGGAAGCUUCCGCGAUGGGGGAAAGCCUGACGGAGCAACGCCGCGUGAGUGAUGAAGGUCUUCGGAUCGUAAAACUCUGUUAUUAGUGAAGAACGAAUGUGUAAGUAACGAUGCACGUCGUGACGGUACCUAAACAGAAAGCCACGGCUAACUACGUG